UGAUGAUCCGAUGACAGAAAAAAUAAGUUUUAAUAAAAAAGCAGGAUCUUUACAGGAGACGGAUGUUGGACCAGGACGUCUCGUUCUCGUGUACCUCAGAAUUCCGAGAUGGUUGUCGGACCAGGACGUCUCGUGUACCUCAGAAUUCGUGAACAGGGCGGCAAUGGCGAGGCGGGGAGAGGGUGCGCAGGCGAGGCGAAGAAGGGGAGCGGCAACAGGUUUGUCCUCUGCGCAUCCGUCGGCGGGAUGGACAUCUUGAUGGAUCCAAUCGACAGAUGAGUUCCCCUUUCUUGAUCCAAACCUUUACUGGUCAUGCAGCACAUCCACCGUGGAUGAUUGAUGAGUACGGCGCAGGUUUCCGCUGCGAGAGGAGUUCGCCGACGGCCUCGAACACUCAGAUCUGGUGGCCCAUUGCCGUGCCGCGGCGGGGAGGACCGGAGGCAAAAGCGGUCGAGGAGUUGAAUGCCGCUUCUGGGUGCGCAUAGGCGGUUAGCAUAGGAGACGACCGGCGCAAGAGGAAAGGUUCUCCUACACAGUCUGCGUAAUCGACUGGGAAGCUUGAGGCUCUGUAAUGCCUCACCGAACAGAACCCCAUGCUCGUCCAGGAUGAUUGCGCUCGAGCAAACGAUCAAGCAAUUCAGGAAGGAAUCACCGAGGAAGUGUGAUGAAGCCUGAGCUGGGACUAAGCUUCGAUUCCCUCGGAGAGGCGUACGACUUCUAUAACUUCCACUCGUUGGAAGUUCAAUUCGGGAUAAGAUAUGGUAUACGUAGGUUGAACGCCGAGAGGACGGAAUCAAUGUAGGAAAUCGUCUACGGAUGCUUGGGGAAGCCUGAAGCAGAGAACAUCGGGUCUUGUCAAUGUGAGUGCCUGGCACUUAUCAGGCUCCUGAGGGAUGCAGACACCACUCCACCCCGCCCAGGAGGCCAGGACUGAGCUUCAAGCUCUGCCACUGCUUGAGAGUGAUGGGUGGACCAACGCCUAAAACAAUAUUGACAGUGUAGAUCAGAACAGAGCUAUGGAGGUGGCUAUAAGUAAAAUCUAUCGUUAGACUGUGUACAGGUGGUGCAAAUGGCACAUACUGAAGAAAGCUAACGAGUGCUUGGGACCUCUGUACACGAAGAACAACGAGUUCAGGGCGGAGUUCCACAAGGUUGUCAACCACAUGCUCAUAGUGGACGAGUUUGAAAACGCCUGGGCUAUGUCGUUGAAAAGGUACAAUCUGAAACAACACACGUAUAUGACAGAGAUUUAUGAGAUUCGAACAAAGUGGGUAAAACCUUAUUUCAAGGUUGUUUUCUUUGCAAAAACGACAAUCACACAAUGGAGCCGGAGCGCCAAUCAUACGAGCAUUUAUGUCGCGGAUUGUAAGUCCCAGUUUAUGUUCCACCCUUGUGCAGAGUGGAGCUGUGAGGCGGACGAACCUUGCGAUCCAGACACAUGCACGUGACGACUUGGUAGUGUGUAGAUGUCAUUUGAAUUAAGUUGUGUAUCUUAUAAUCCGGGGAUUUUCUGGUGUAUUUCAGUGAGGAAUGCUCCACGCUUGUUCCUCCAGCGCAUGAACUGUGCAAAAUCUCUUUGAACUGAUCCGCAUACUUGGUUGACUUGUAAAACUGAUGCCAAGAUAUAGAUGACAAAUGUUUCUGAUUA